rnacentral:rRNA from 1 species
AUGGGCUUGUGGGCAGUGGCUUGGGGACAACACGUCCAUGCACGGAGAGAUGCACAGGCUUUGGGCAGUAGCUUGGGGGCAGCACGCCAAUGGCGGAGAGGCGCGGACAGCAGCAGGGAAAGGACGCCGGUGAGCGUCGCGCGGGUGUCCCCCUGCAGCGCCGGUGAGCGCCGCAUCCCACCACGGGCUGAGCCAGCGGCCGUCCUUGCUUCACAUCACGGCCGCUUGAGAGUUAUCCAAUCCAUGGCGGAGAGGAGUAGUAGCGAAGAUGUAAUAGGAAAGAAGGGAACUCGUUCAGAGAAAGAGGAAAAAGAAUGGAUGGCUUGCGUGCCUCCGCGCUGGAGAUAA